rnacentral:rRNA from 1 species
CCUACGGGGUGCAGCAGUGAGGAAUAUUGGUCAAUGGGCGGGAGCCUGAACCAGCCAAGCCGCGUGAGGGAAGAAGGUACAGCGUAUCGUAAACCUCUUUUGUCAGGGAACAAAGGCGGGGACUAGUCCCCGGAUGAGGGUACCUGAAGAAAAAGCAUCGGCUAACUCCGUGCCAGCAGCCGCGGUAAUACGGAGGAUGCGAGCGUUAUCCGGAUUUAUUGGGUUUAAAGGGUGCGCAGGCGGCCUGUUAAGUCAGCGGUAAAAGCCCGGGGCUCAACCCCGGCGAGCCGUUGAAACUGGCGGGCUGGAGUUGGAGAGAAGUACGCGGAAUGCGCGGUGGAGCGGUGAAAUGCUUAGAUAUCGCGCAGAACUCCGAUUGCGAAGGCAGCUUACUAAGCCAUAACUGACACUGAAGCACGAAAGCGUGGGGAUCAAACAGGAUUAGAUACCCUGGUAGUC